rnacentral:tRNA from 1 species
GUUUCAGUAGUUUAAAUCAGAACGUGGCUUUGAAGGGGCCAAAGUGGUUAAUUUUUCCCUAGAACA